AGGCUGUGGGGUAACACUUGGUUUGUUGUCAAUUCUAAGAAUUAUAAUUGAUGACAUCACACGCAGACGUCAGGAUAGAGGUAGGGCCUGCUCUGGAACGUUUGGUUAGAGUUUGCUGAUUGUUAACACAAAACGAAUACUAAUGGUGACAGGUCAGUGUUGAGCAAUGAGCAGCAAACAGGAAGCCAAACGCCACACACCAGCAGCUAGAAGGAGAUUCAUCAGUUUGACGGCACAAGAGAACCAGGGAGGACCCUCACGUCGAGAUGAAGACCCUUCACAUGAUCACUCUCUUUCUGAUAGCAGCUGGGGCAGAGGGCAUCAAUGUAACAGGCUACCUCGGGGGAGCCGUCCGGAUCAAAUGUGCGUACCCAAACGCCAGCCUUAGCAGUGAAAAGUACCUCUGCAAACGCCAGGGUUCCGGCUGUGUGGAUCUGAUAAGAAUUCGCGAUCAGAGUGCAGAGAAGGGCAGGUUCUUCUUCUCCAACAACGACACAGGAUAUUUGGCCGUUAGCCUGGCCAAGCUUACCACACAGGACACUGGGCAGUACCUGUGUGCUGUGGGUGACAUACAAACCCAGAUCACCCUAGAGGUGAAGGAAGGUAAGAGCUCUCCCAUCUGUUCAAAAUCAUUAAUAUGUUUUCAUUUUGAGAAACGAUAACAGACAGGGACAGAGAGAGAGGGGGGGAGAGAGAGAGAGAGACUGCCUGUGUAUAUGAGUGAUAAGAGAGAGAGAUAGAGAGAGAGAGACUGCCUGUGUAUAUGAGUGAUAAGAGAGAGGGAGAGAGAGAGAGAGAGAGAGAGAGAGAGACUGCCUGUGUAUAUGAGUGAUAAGAGAGAGAGAGAGAUACUGCCCGUGUAUAUGAGUGAUAAGAGAGAGAGAGAGAGAGAGAGAGAGAGAUACUGCCCGUGUAUAUGAGUGAUAAGAGAGAAAGAGAGAGAUAGAGAGACUGCCUGUGUAUAUGAGUGAUAAGAGAGAAAGAGAGAGAGAGAGAGAGACUGCCUGUGUAUAUGAGUGAUAAGAGAGAGAGAGAGAGAGAGAGACUGCCUGUGUAUAUGAGUGAUAAGAGAGAAGAGAGAGAGAGAGAGACUGCCUGUGUAUAUGAGUGAUAAGAGAGAAAGAGAGAGAGAGAGAGAGACUGCCUGUGUAUAUGAGUGAUAAGAGAGAAAGAGAGAGAGAGAGAGACUGCCUGUGUAUAUGAGUGAUAAGAGAGAAAGAGAGAGAGAGAGAGAGAGACUGCCCGUGUAUAUGAGUGAUAAGAGAGAGAGAGAGAGAGAGAGAGAGAGAGAGAGAUACUGCCCGUGUAUAUGAGUGAUAAGAGAGAGAGAGAGAGAGAGAGAGAGAUACUGCCCGUGUAUAUGAGUGAUAAGAGAGAGAGAGAGAGAGAGAGAGAAAUACUGCCCGUGUAUAUGAGUGACAAAAGAGAGAGAGAAAGAGAUACUGUCUGUGUAUGAGUGAUAAAAAAGAGAGAGAGAGAGAGAGAGAGAGAGACUGCCUGUGUAUAUGAGUGAUAAGAGAGAGAGAGAGAGAGAGAGAGAUACUGCCCGUGUAUAUGAGUGACAAAAGAGAGAGAGAAAGAGAUACUGUCUGUGUAUGAGUGAUAAAAGAGAGACAGAGGGAGAGAAAGAGAGAGAGAGAGGGAGGGGGAGAAAGAGAAAGA
rnacentral:lncRNA from 1 species